GGCCUAAAAGCGUAGUGGGAAAGUGACGUGAAAUUCGUCCAGAUUACUUGAUACGGUUAUACUCCGAAUGCCACCUAGGCCAUACAACGAGCAAGGAGACUCAACAUGAUAAGAUU
rnacentral:ncRNA from 10 species